GCCAGGCAUGGGGGUGCAUGCCUGUAAUCCCAGCAGCUCAGGAGGCUGAGGCAGGAGUAUUGCAAGUUCAAAACAAGCUUCAGCAAAAGCGAGGUACUAAGCAACUCGGUGAGACCCUGUCUCUA
rnacentral:sRNA from 1 species